rnacentral:misc_RNA from 1 species
GAUGAAGAACGCAGCGAAAUGCGAUACGUAAUGUGAAUUGCAAAUUCAGUGAAUCAUCGAGUCUUUGAACGCACAUUGCGCCCCCUGGUAUUCCGGGGGGCAUGCCUGUCCGAGCGUCAUUGCUGCCCUCAAGCACGGCUUGUGUGUUGGGCCCCGUCCUCCGAUCCCGGGGGACGGGCCCGAAUGGCAGCGGCGGCACCGCGUCCGGUCCUCGAGCGUAUGGGGCUUUGUCACCCGCUCUGUAGGCCCGGCCGGCGCUUGCCGAUCAACCCAAAUUUUUUAUCCAGGUUGACCUCGGAUCAGGUAGGGAUACCCGCUGAACUUAAGCAUAUCAAUAAGCGGAGGA